CUCCCACUUAUUUUUUCGAUUUUCACGUUACGACCGGAGCGUAUAUAAGACGUCGGAGAUCUCGAUUCCGGCAUAACACAUCUUUUUGUGCAAAUCUGUUCUUUGUUUUCUACAUUACUCCUCAAAAACCAACCAAAAACCAAAAAUGGGUGCCGAAAAAGUAACCAUGAACAUCGUCGUCGUAGGACAAGUCCAAUCUGCCAAGGCCAUCAAAUCGGUCGCCAAAGCCACCCCAGCCACCAGCCAAUUGAUGAACUGUUAAUUCAUGUAGUCCAUCGAUCUCAAACUCAAAAACACCAUAGUCCAAACAAUACGUAAAUUAUAUAAUGAUAUGUAACAAUAUGACGUAUACCUAAUAUAAUGAACGUCAUUGACACCGCAAAAUAAACCAUAACUUUUUCGACCUA